rnacentral:rRNA from 1 species
AGGGGUGUAUUUAUUAGAUAAAAAACCAACGCCCUUCGGGGCUCCUUGGUGAAUCAUAAUAACUUAACGAAUCGCAUGGCCUUGCGCCGGCGAUGGUUCAUUYAAAUUUCUGCCCUAUYAACUUUCGAUGGUAGGAUAGUGGCCUACCAUGGUGGYAACGGGUAACGGGGAAUUAGGGUUCGAUUCCGGAGAGGGAGCCUAARAAACGGCUACCAYAUCCAAGGAAGGUAGYAGGCGCGUAAAUUACCCAAUCCCGAUACGGGGAGGUAGUGACAAUAAAUACUGAUACGGGGCUCUUUUGGGUCUCGUAAUUGGAAUGAGAACAAUUUAAAUCCCUUAACGRGGAACAAUUGGAGGGUAAGUCUGGUGCCAGCAGCCGCGGUAAUUCCAGCUCCAAUAGCGUAUAUUAAAGUUGUUGCAGUUAAAAAGCUCGUAGUUGAACCUUGGGUCUGGCUGGCCGGUCCSCCUCACCGCGAGUACUGGUCCGGSUGGACUUUCCUUCUGGGGAAC